GUGGCCAUAGUAUAACGGUUAGUACAUCUGCUUGUGGCGCAGAUGAUCUGGGUUCAAUUCCCAGUGGCCACC
rnacentral:tRNA from 1 species